rnacentral:lncRNA from 1 species
UAAGCUGUUAAGAGACAAGGCCGCAAAUCAAUUCACAUGGCAUAAACCAAAUAGGCAAUUAGGUAAAGCCCUACUCUAUGCAUGUUACUCUUUUCUUGAAGGGAGGAUAGGAAGAAAGGAAAAUCUACAUGCAAAAUCUGUCCUGGGGCAUUUGAUUCAUAUUUUAUCCAUUGCAUUUUUAUCCACCAUGCUUCCAGAAGAAGAGGUAAUGCUAACUAGACUCUAAGGUUGCCUAUGUCACCUACAAUUUUUAGCCCCCCAACUAGUCAUGACUUGAUGAAUAUAGGGUUUAGAGUUGGGCCCUUUCCAUGC